rnacentral:rRNA from 1 species
UGGGGAAUAUUGGGCAAUGGGCGAAAGCCUGACCCAGCAACGCCGCGUGAGGGAAGAAGGGUUUCGGCUCGUAAACCUCUGUCCUAUGGGACGAAGGAAGUGACGGUACCAUAGGAGGAAGCCCCGGCUAACUACGUGCCAGCAGCCGCGGUAAUACGUAGGGGGCGAGCGUUGUCCGGAAUGAUUGGGCGUAAAGGGCGCGUAGGCGGCCUGUUAAGUCUGGAGUGAAAGUCCUGCUUUCAAGGUGGGAAUUGCUUUGGAUACUGAUGGGCUGGAGUGCAGGAGAGGAAAGCGGAAUUACCGGUGUAGCGGUGAAAUGCGUAGAGAUCGGUAGGAACACCAGUGGCGAAGGCGGCUUUCUGGACUGUAACUGACGUUGAGGCGCGAAAGCGUGGGGAGCAAACAGGAUUAGAUACCC